rnacentral:lncRNA from 1 species
GGUCAUUCUAUCCCUGGUUAGAACUAUUUCCUGUCAUUCUCCCCCAGUUUAAGGGAUAUAAAAUAUGCUCCUGUGUUGGAUGCACUCACCUUCUACCACUAAACUGGAAAAAAAGCCAAGAGAACCUGUGACUAUGCAAACAAAGGAGUACUUUUCUUCUCACACUUCCACUUACAAAUAACCAGAACCUCAGAAGAUAUAUGAAGCUUUCAAUCCAGUUGGAAAGUCAAGACUGACAGAGUAACCCAGGAAUACAUGAAUGCUUGCAGUAAUUGAUCAGCAUGUACAAAAGAAAGCCAGUGUAGGAAAAAGGCUGAGCGUGUCUGGAUAUCCUCGAACCAGAACUACCCAAGCUUCCUGAACUGCUGAUUUUUCUUUUUACAACGUCAAGCAACAAGCCAUACGGAUACAGGAGCAGGUGAUGCCAAAACGGAAUAUUUUAAAAUAACAUUGUCACACAGUCAGAUACCUUCUAACCCAUUCCCUCACUGCUGUUGGCUUAUGAAUAAUUUCAAGAGUUUGUACAUAACUCUGAUCAAAAUAACCUUAUGUUGUGUUGGACCGAAAUAUUUUAAGUUUAGUCUUAAGAAGUCAAACAAUGUAGAUACAGUUGACAGCCUCUAUAUAUCCCUCUUCAAAGAAAUUUCCC